AUUGGAGAUGGUUUACCCUGUAAUGGUGCCAAGCUUGUUGAAGGUUGGCUUCCACAUCCUCCUCCCCUUCAUCCUCUUUUCCUUCCAUGUCGACCAUGCAAUGUGCACGAAUGACUAUAUUAACAGCCGCUGUAGCGUCACUUAGAAUUACACGAAUGGAAGCGCGUUUGAAGUAAACAUGCACAGCCUCUUCUUCACCUUGACAAACGAUGCUCCUCCUACUGGUUUUUCCAAUGCCACCACGGGACACAGAUUGGAUAGAGGUACAGCCUGGUUCAGUGCAGGGGCGACAUUGAUGAGGAUACCUGGAACGGAUGCAUCUCUAAUUCCAUUCCACAGGUCAUCAAAUACUGCCCCAGCACAAUGGAUACCAUCGUAUGGUAUGAAAAGUGCCAGUUGCGCUACUCCAACACCAACUUCUUGGUCACCUCAAUGUCCAGGAUUCUGGUUCUUGGUAUUGGAUCAAUGAUAAAGUGGAAGACCCCAAAGCCUUUAACCAAACGUUGGAUAGUCUGCUCAAGAAUCAAGCGACAACAGAGCUUCAAGGUUCAUGUUUGCUGCGGGCAACAUCCCCUAUGAAGAUCUACAGACGAUAUUCUGGCUGGUGCAGUGCACCGGGGAUACAAGCCUUGCUGAUUGCAAACAGUGUUUGGAUACCUCCAGGUCCCAGAUCCCAAUGACCUGCGGUGCUGCACACGGCUGUGAAAUUGCCAUGGGAAGUUGCCGUGUGAGAUACGAUACAGAGCUGUUUAUGCUACCACAACACUCCAACCCCUUCUCCUCCAAAGCCUCCAUCCAAUUCAAGCCCAAGCCCAUCUCCCAAUUCAGCAUCAUCAUCAAAUUCAAGCCCCAGACCAUCUCCUAAUUUAGUGCCUCCUUCCAAUUCAAGCCCAAGCCAUCUCCACCACCUCCAUCGGAUUCAAGCCCUCCGUCAAGCGGUGUGUCCAACGCUAUGUCAGGCAAGUCUCUCUCUCUCUCCCCCACUAACUACAAGAAUUUGAUCUCCAUGCAGACAAGCCGAACCACUCCACUGUAACAUCAGUGGCUAUGAUCACCGUCAUCACUUUUGCCUUGAGUCUACAAUGGUGCCAUCGUGGUUAUAAAUAGGGCUGAUCAUAUUCAGUUUUUUUUUCAGACUAUAAUGUACACGGUGUGUUUUUUUUCAUGUGUAAUCUGUUAGUCUAUAUUGCUGUAUACGAUGUAACCCACUUGGGGGGCCGGUUAUGCUCACUAGCUACGUUGUGU